GCUCCUGCUCACAGUGACACUGAUCUGGUAAAGCCCUCAUCCUGGCCUGACCCUGCUAUGGGCACCAGGCUCCUAUGCUGGGUGGUCCUGGGUUUCCUAGGGACAGAUCACACAGGUGCUGGAGUCUCCCAGGCUCCCAGGUACAAAGUCACAAAGAGGGGACAGGAUGUAGCUCUCAGGUGUGAUCCAAUUUCGGGUCAUGUAGCCCUUUAUUGGUACCGACAGGCCCUGGGGCAGGGCCCAGAGUUUCUGACUUACUUCAAUGAUGAAGCUCAACCAGACAAAUCAGGAAUGCCCAAUGAUCGGUUCUCUGCAGAGAGGCCUGAGGGAUCCAACUCCACUCUGACGAUCCAGCGCACAGAGCAGCGGGACUCGGCCAUGUAUCUCUGUGCCAGCAGCUUCAGAAAUUGUGGUGGUACAGACACCAAAUUUCUUUCCCCAGAGAAUGACGGUCACUGA